UCGAAUAAAUCUGAAGUUUGCCGACAUGUUGUCUCGUUUCCUCUUUUGAACAUUUUCCAAAAACGAGACAAACAUAUCGGCAAACUUCAGAUUUAUUGGAAGCCUGCGGUUUGGCCCAUCACUAAUUCGCUCUCUGGUUCGCUCCCAGUCGCUCACGAAGCGGCUCAGUGAGCAGUGGCCAUCUUGGAUUUUGUUUUCUAUAACUCUAGUUCAUUGGGCUGGUCGGCCAUCGAGCAUUGAGAGUCGAAGCUGAUGUCAUCAUUCAUAACCUGCCGAGUGUCAAAAGUUUUUACACUAUUGCAUUAUUAAUUAUAUUUAUAUCACCAAAAUGUUUUCAAUUUAGACUUUUUAUGUAGGGUUUAAUAACAAAUUGCAGCCAGUGUUGUAAAGUGUUGACCAAUCUUGACUACAAGAUCCAUCCCACCAAAGUGUUUUGAACUUAAGCUUUUUAUGCAGAGCUUGUACAAAUGAAGGGAACCACAGACGUGGAGGUUAUUCGUUAACAAAUGUCAGCAGCUGUUGUGAAAUGUUUAUCCAUUUUCAGUACUAGGUAAGUGAUCAAAAUCUUAAUUGUUAGGUGCCUUUAUUCAUACAGAAUAGAUCCAUACCACUAAAGUGUUUUUAAUUUAGACUUUUUAUGUAGAGCUUAUAGAAAUGGAUUCAUUUUCUCAUUUCAUCAUUAACAUUAAAAUUUCUUGCAGGUAGAAACAAAAUUGCAGAUAUACAUAAUUAUUUGUAAGUUGAACGAAUAAGUGUUUAUAAUUAAUCAAUUAUAUGAAAUAUAUA